ACCUUCACCUCACUGUUUUAGGAUAUUCCAGUUUACACUGAUUUUUUUUUCUUAUGUGUUCCUCCAACCUUGUUAUGCUCCAGACGUGAGAGGAAGAUGCGAGAGCGGAUUGUUACUGAAUAGAGCAAGGAGCCACCUUAGAGGAAAUUUCAAGUCUCUCUGACUCCCCUACUACAUGUAUGUCCCAUCCCAACAUUCAGCACACCAUAUUCUGUGGUCUGUUUAUGUCUUCAUAGCAGGUGCAAGAGUGAGCUCCUAAAAACAGCCAUUAUAAAAGCUAAGUAUUCAGCUACCUACAGAAACUACGAUUCUGAGCAUAACAGCUGCGUCUUAUGUUGUAAAACUCUCUUGUCAUCCCUGAGCAAAGAGCCAUACGGGAGUAGAUUGGAAGUGCUCCUAGAAACUGAUAGGGGAGGACUCCCCAGACCCCCAGAAAAAUUCUAAAUCUCCAAGCAAGUGGAGCCUGUCUCAUCCAAAGGUUGCAAUCCAGGAGAUUCUAGGAUACCCAACCCACAGAAGUAUUUGCUUUGGCAUACAAGUGCUUGAAGAAGGUCAAAAUUUGUUGCCAAUAUUAAAAGAUUCCACAUUUUAAAAACUCCAGAUUUAUUGUACUCAAGAAAAAAAUGGAAAAUGUAGCUAUACAAGGCCCACACUGCUGCACUAGGCUAGAUUUGCCCCACUCUAGACAA
rnacentral:lncRNA from 1 species